rnacentral:sRNA from 1 species
UCACUUAAUGUGCGUUUAAUCACUUCAAACCGCCGACAAGUCUCAGUAUGAUGGGACGACAUUAACCCUUGCCUUUUCGGUGAGGGUUUUCUUUU